AUUGAACGCUGGCGGCAGGCCUAACACAUGCAAGUCGAGCGGAUGAAGGGUGCUUGCUCCUUGAUUCAGCGGCGGACUGGUGAGUAAUGCCUAGGAAUCUCCCUGUUAGUUUUUGCUUACGUCCUGAAACGGGCGCUCAUACCCCAUUCGUCCUGAGGGCGUACGUGUGGGAUCUUCGGACCUCACGCUCUCAGAUGAGCCUAGGUCGGAUUAGCUAGUUGGUGGGGUAAAGGCCUACCAAGGCGACGAUCCGUAACUGGUCUGAGAGGAUGAUCAGUCACACUGGAACUGAGACACGGUCCAGACUCCUACGGGAGGCAGCAGUGGGGAAUAUUGGACAAUGGGCGAAAGCCUGAUCCAGCCAUGCCGCGUGUGUGAAGAAGGUCUUCGGAUUGUAAAGCACUUUAAGUGGGGAGGAAGAGCAGUAAGUUAAUACCUUGCUGUUUUGACGGUACCAAAAGAAUAAGCACCGGCUAACUUCGUG
rnacentral:rRNA from 1 species